UUCCUCCCUCUAGGUCUCUGUGGAAUGUUCUGCUUCCCUUGUUUGGCAGGCCAAGUUGCUACAACUAUGAAUGAAUGUUGUUGUUGCGGAUCAUCUGUGGCCAUGCGGGCUGUGUACAGGACAAAAUACAAUAUCCCUGGAUCCAUCUGUGGGGAUACCUGCAUUGUGGGAUGUUUCCCCACUUGUUCUCUCUGCCAAGUCCAGAGAGAUAUCAGAAGAAGAAAACAAAUGGGGAUAUUCUAGAAGACUCCACCCUAAGCUCCUUUGGACCUUUACAUUUGACCUUUUUAAAAUUAGAAUUCUGAGAAGUAAGAAAUAAGUAAAGUAGUUUGUAGGGAGAACCAUUAUUUAGAGGCACCCAUGCUUUAUAAUUCUAAGCAUAUUCUUAACCCAGAAAUUAAAUUUUAGUACUGAUUCAGAGCUCAAAAUCCAAGCACACAAA